UCUAUGAUGAUCCUAUCCCGAACCUGAAUUCCUGUUGAAAAACCAUAAUUACGGAUCUGGCUUCUGAGAUUCUAUGAUGAUCCUAUCCCGAACCUGAAUUCCUGUUGAAAAACCAUAAUUACGGAUCUGGCUUCUGAGAU
rnacentral:snoRNA from 1 species